ACCAAAAUGGAAUUUAAGUCAUGCUGUCUCUAUCACACGAGGGAUAACGGCAUGUGGAUACACAAAUAAAUUUUAUAUACAGACUAACGGAAAAUCAACCAUACCCGAGAAACAAACCAGAUAGUCCAGCAUCCAUGACCCGAUAAAGAUGGAGAACCCUUUAGAUGUGUUGUCUCGGGCGGCGUCGAUGUUGGAGACAAAUCAGAUUAACACAGGACAAUGAUGUUGAUUAUAAUAUACAAGGAAAGAAAUAGAUGAAAGAGAGGAAGAUAUAGAUGAAAGAGAGGAAGAUGUAGAAGAAGAUGAAAGAGAGGAAGAUGUAGAUAUAAUUUGGGGUAAAAAUGUCAAGGUCAUGAUAAUACUCCAUUUUGUAUAGUGCUAAUGUUGAGAAAUAUUGAAAAUAAUGCAAAGUUGUGUGAAAUUUUUAUCCAUUUGGUAGCUGACUGGUGUGUGAUUUUUCUGUAUAUAUUGUAGGUAUGGCACAUAUACCGUGUUAAGAUUGAAAUUUUUUUUAAAAGAUGUUAGCUGGGGUAAAUGUAAAUGGGGUAAGGUAUUGAAUGAGGAUUAGAGGGGAGUGAAAAUCAUAACAACAUCCUCAGCGGAGAAUCUACAUUCACCUGAGGAGCAGCCUUGAGAAACAGUGCAGCACAGUGCUCCGCCAGUGUAUCAUAUUGUAGAGCUCGUUGUCAUUCAUUAUCUUGCACCACCUAAAGAUUUUGCGAAGAGUUGAAUAAUAGCAUUAGUCAUAACAGAAGGUUUAAACUCUUCUCAUAUGUUGUGUGGCAGUGUAAUCUAGGACUCUGUAUCGACCAGAUUUUUUCGGUGCGAUACAAUAUUUGUAUGUGCGAUGUACAAUAUAUUGGGAGUUAUUUCACGCAUUUAAAAAUUCCACUGAAAAGAUAAAGAUAAACAAUAAAUUUGGUGAUUUGACAUAUUGUUUUUCUCUUUGCGUAACAUUAUUCCAUGGGCUAUCUUGAAUAUCCCAUUACACAAUCAUCAAACUGAAUAAUAUUUAAAUUCAGUGUUCUUGACUUUUUGGGCAGGGAGGAGGGACUUUUGUUUUUUGGUUGCAGUUGUUGUUGUUUCAGCAACAGUUGUUCAAUGAGCAAGAAUAUUGGAUUAUUUUACUUUAAAUUUGAGAAACCAAUUAAGUUGAAGUAAACAAAUAACCACAGAAUUGCUUUUUCCCCCAAGAUUUUAUUAACAUUGCUUCAAACUUAUAAGUAGUAAGAACCACUGGGUGUCUGGGUAGCGCUCUCGCUUCUCACCGCUGCGACCCGAGUUCAAACCCCGUGAUCGGCAGUGGUUGUAUGUGAGAGGGUAUGGUGGUCACCCGCUCGGAUACGUGAGUUUCCUUCGGGUUCUCCGGUUUCCUCCCACAUAAAUGACCCCUAGCUGCAAUAAUGUAGCCCUCUCCAAUCUAAAACGUCGGAAUAAAAAAAAUUGGAUAGGGCUACAUUAUUGCAGCUAAAAUGACCCCCAUAGUGCAAACAUCCGCGCGCGUGUACAUCAAAGGACCCCA